GGGGGUAUAGCUCAGUGGUAGAGCAUUUGACUGCAGAUCAUAAAAAUAAUCUAUAGCCUCA
rnacentral:tRNA from 1 species